GGAGGAGGAGGAGCUGUGGCUGGUUUCAUAGGCUGCAUGGGAAAAAGACCAUCCAUGUUUCCCCAUCAUUGAGGAUUACAGCAAAACCAUCAGGGGAAUUUGGGUUGUAGCGUUGCCUGAGACUCCAUGGUAAAGAAACCCUACAGGUUGAUGGAGGAAACAACUAACAGGACUCUGGUAACUGACCUUCACCAGGAUACUCAUCUGGGGUCCACAAAACUUUCUGAGUGGCUCAGACCAAGUUCCACUUCUGGCUAACUGUUCUUGUCAACUGAAGUAUGUCAACCCAGGACAUGUUUUUUGUGCUUACAAGCCCACCUUGGAGAAGGCUCAGGUCUAUACUGGAAUCCCAAACAUCUAAUGUAGUUGCUGGCUGGCUAAUAAAGGACUUUCUGUUGGCUCACCCCAUGUCUGAGCAGUCUUCUCUUAUGAAGACCUCCAUAAAACUAAGAGUCCUGGUAAGGAAAGAGCAGCACAUGGCCUGUGAAGCCCCAUUGACUUCUGCCACCAAUACACCUUGGAGAUGAAGCAGAGUGUCUGCUGGGGACUAAAUAUGGUGUUAGGAAGACAGUGGGAGAAGAGCCGGAUCUGAAGAACUACCUGGAUUGGAGUAAGGGACCAUUCAUUCUUUUUUGGUUUCAUUAUUCCCUCUUCUGGACUUAAGGAAGCUCACCAUCCACAGAUGAGCACAGAAGUAUGUGGGUGUGUUUUCUUUUUCUCUUUGGUGGUUUGAAUGAUAAUG